AUUGAACGCUGGCGGCGUGCUUAACACAUGCAAGUCGUGCGGUAACAGGCGUAGCAAUACGUGCUGACGAGCGGCGAACGGGUGCGUAAUACAUGGGAAUCUGCCUUUUAGUGGGGAAUAACCCGGCGAAAGCCGGGCUAAUGCCGCAUAAGAUCUUCGGAUGAAAGCGGGGGAGUCGUAAGACUCGCGCUGAUAGAUGAGCCCACUGCCGGAUUAGCAGUUGGUGAGGUAACGGCUCACCAAGGCGACGAUCCGUAGCUGGUCUGAGAGGACGGCCAGCCACACUGGGACUGAGACA
rnacentral:rRNA from 1 species